rnacentral:rRNA from 1 species
UGGGGAAUUUUGGACAAUGGGCGAAAGCCUGAUCCAGCAAUGCCGCGUGUGUGAAGAAGGCCUUCGGGUUGUAAAGCACUUUUGUCCGGAAAGAAAUCCUUGGCUCUAAUACAGUCGGGGGAUGACGGUACCGGAAGAAUAAGCACCGGCUAACUACGUGCCAGCAGCCGCGGUAAUACGUAGGGUGCAAGCGUUAAUCGGAAUUACUGGGCGUAAAGCGUGCGCAGGCGGUUUGCUAAGACCGAUGUGAAAUCCCCGGGCUCAACCUGGGAACUGCAUUGGUGACUGGCAGGCUAGAGUAUGGCAGAGGGGGGUAGAAUUCCACGUGUAGCAGUGAAAUGCGUAGAGAUGUGGAGGAAUACCGAUGGCGAAGGCAGCCCCCUGGGCCAAAUACUGACGCUCAUGCACGAAAGCGUGGGGAGCAAACAGGAUUAGAUACCCUGGUAGUCCACGCCCUAAAACGAUGUCAACUAGUUGUUGGGGAUUCAUUUCCUUAGUAACGUAGCUAACGCGUGAAGUUGACCGCCUGGGGGAGUACGGUCGCAAGAUUAAAACUCAAAGGAAUUGACGGGGUCAUAGCUGUUUCCU